rnacentral:lncRNA from 1 species
CUCCUGGACAGUUGAAGAUCAGUGUGGGUCUACGUCUGGACAGUUCAAGGGUCAGUAGUGUGCGUCUACUUCUCCCCACAGUUAAUAAGGAUCAGGCAGGGAGAUCUCGUCCAUGGUGGACAGGCAGGGAGAGUCUCGUCCAUGGUGGACAGGCAGGGAGAGUCUCGUCCAUGGUGGUCAGGCAGAGAGAGUCAGGCAAGGAGAGUCAGGCAGGGAGAGUCAGGCAGGGAGAAGUCAGGCAGGAGAUCAGGCCAGGGAAUCUCGUCCUGGGGGACAAGGCAGGGAGCGAGUCAGGCAGGGAGAGUCUCGUCAUGGUGGACGGCAGGAGUCUCCGUCCAUGGGUGGACAGGCAGGGGAGUCGUCCAUGGUGGACAGGCCAGGGGGAGUCUCGUCCCAUGGGUGAACGCAGGGCAGUCUCGUCCAUGGUGGACAGGCAGGGAGAGUCCUCGUCCAUGGUGGUCACAGGGAGUCAGGCAGGGAAGAGUCAGGCAGGGAGAGUCAGGCAGGGAGAAGUCAGGCAGUGGAAGUCAGCAGGGAGGUCCUCGUCCAUGGUUGACAGGGCGGCAGGAGGUCUCGUCCUGGUGGUCAGGCGGGAGAGUCUCGUCCAUGGUGGUCAGGCAGGGAGAGUCGCGUCCAUGGUGCAGGCAGGGAGAGUCUCGUCCAUGGUGACAGGCAGCAAGGGAGCGUCUCGUCCAUGGUGGACAGGCAGGGAGCGUCUCGUCCAUGGUGGCAGGCAGGGAGAGUCUCGUCCCAUGGUGGACAGGCAGGGAGAGUCUCGCCAGGUGGAACAGGCAGGAGUCUCGUCCAUGUGGACAGGAGGGGAAGUCCGUCCAUGGUGACAGGCAGGGGAGAGUCUCGU